rnacentral:rRNA from 1 species
AUGCCGAUGAUCUUUCCCUUCCCCGUUGCCGUCGCCGCCGCCCUCUUCGCCGCCGCAGCCUUGGCUCCGAGACACGCCUCCGCGCUCACCCGCCAUGACUUCCCCGAGGGGUUCGUCUUCGGCGCAGGCACCUCAGCCUACCAGGUGGAAGGCGCGGCCGCAGAGGAUGGGAGGAAACCCAGCAUCUGGGACACCUUCACCCAUCAAGGUCACUCGUCUGACGGGUCCACGGCAGAUGUUUCAGCAGACCAGUACCAUCAUUACAAGGAAGAUGUAAAGCUUAUGCACAAGAUGGGUCUGGACGCGUACAGAUUCUCCAUCUCUUGGCCCCGGCUUAUUCCUGCUGGAAGAGGACAGAUAAACCCAAAGGGCUUGGAAUACUACAACAAUUUGAUAGAUGAGCUGAUACUACAUGGGAUUCAACCUCAUGUCACCAUCUACCAUUUUGAUCUUCCUCAGGUCCUGCAGGACGAAUAUGGUGGACUACUUAGCCCCAGAUUCAUAGAUGAUUACACCGCUUACGCAAACGUGUGCUUCAAGAGCUUUGGGGACAGAGUGAAGCACUGGGUAACCGUCAACGAGCCAAACAUAGAGCCAAUCGGCGGCUACGACAACGGCUCUCAACCUCCGCGGCGCUGCUCGUAUCCAUUCGGCGCAGACUGCGCCGAGGGGAAUUCCUCAACCGAGCCGUACAUGGCAGCUCACCAUCUCCUGCUUGCACACGCUUCGGCAGUGUCCCUGUACAGAGAGAAGUAUAAGGCUGCUCAGGGAGGCCAGAUAGGAAUCACUCUGCUGGGCUGGUGGCAUGAGCCUGCUACCGACACACCCCAGGAUGCAGCUGCUGCCGUGAGGAUGAAUGACUUCCACAUAGGAUGGUUCAUGCAUCCGUUGGUAUAUGGAGACUACCCUCCGGUGAUGAGGAGCAGGGUAGGCCGUCGAUUGCCGGCUCUACCGGCCCCGGAGCCGGCCAAGGUGCGUGAAUCGUUCGACUUCAUCGGCUUCAACCACUAUCUCAUCAUGCGUGCGCGAUCGAUCGACACCAGUUCCGGUCAGGAACCCAGGGACUACUACGUCGAUGCAGCCGUCGAAAAUCCAGCAGCAGACAUAACCACGGGCGAGGUUGAGACCGCCCCGUGGUCCCUGAGGAAGCUGCUGGAGCACCUGAAACUCAACUACGGGAACCCCACUGUGUGGAUCCACGAAAAUGGAUACGCAGACGGCCCCGGCACCCGGAGCAAGGCCGAGGAGGAGGAGGACGACGACGAGGACAGAGCAGAGUUCCUGCAAGAUUACAUGGAAACCCUGUACCUGUCCAUACGGAACGGGUCGAACGCGCGGGGAUACUUCGUGUGGUCGUUCCUGGACGUGUUCGAGUUCCUCUUCGGCUACCGGCUGCGCUUCGGCCUGUGCGGCGUCGACAUGGGCGAUGCGGCGAGGACGAGGUACAUGAGGAGAUCCGCCCGCUGGUACUCCGGCUUCCUCGCCGGCGGCGAGCUCCGGCCGGCUGCUCGGGCCCAGAAGUCCUACGUGCAAUGA